rnacentral:rRNA from 1 species
GACGAACGCUGGCGGCGUGCUUAACACAUGCAAGUCGAACGGAAAGGCCUCGUUGGGGGUACUCAUCAGUCUAAGGGGUGAAUGAGAGAUGAAUAAGCAGCCCUCCUGCUCGGGAUAACUUCAGAACAGUGGGGCUAAUACCGGAUUGGAAUACUCGCUGCAUGGUGGGGGUUGGGAAGAUAGGGCGGUUUUGGAUGGAUUCGCGGCUAAUACGCUUGUUGGUGGGGGAGUGGCUUACCAAGGCUUUGACGGGUAGCCGGCCUGAGAGGGCGACCGGCCACAUUGGGACUGAGAGACGGCGCAGAGGGGUACGGGAGGCAACAGUGGGGAAUAUUGCACAAUGGGCGGAAGCCUGAUGUAGCAACGCUGCGUGCGGGAUGACCGGCUUCGGGGGGUGAACCGCUUUCAGGAGGGGCGAGGCAUGUGGUGACGGUACCUGCAGAGGAAGCACCGGCUAACUACGUG